rnacentral:rRNA from 1 species
GAUGAACGCUGGCGGCGUGCCUAAUACAUGCAAGUCGAGCGAACAGACGAGGAGCUUGCUCCUCUGACGUUAGCGGCGGACGGGUGAGUAACACGUGGAUAACCUACCUAUAAGACUGGGAUAACUUCGGGAAACCGGAGCUAAUACCGGAUAAUAUAUUGAACCGCAUGGUUCAAUAGUGAAAGACGGUUUUGCUGUCACUUAUAGAUGGAUCCGCGCCGCAUUAGCUAGUUGGUAAGGUAACGGCUUACCAAGGCAACGAUGCGUAGCCGACCUGAGAGGGUGAUCGGCCACACUGGAACUGAGACACGGUCCAGACUCCUAAGGGAGGCAGCAGUAGGGAAUCUUCCGCAAUGGGCGAAAGCUUGACGGAGCAACGCCGCGUGAGUGAUGAAGGUCUUCGGAUCGUAAAACUCGGUUAUUAGGGAAGAACAAAUGUGUAAGUAACUAUGCACGUCUUGACGGUACCUAAUCAGAAAGCAACGGCUAACUACGUG